rnacentral:tRNA from 1 species
AAAGGACGCCCAGAGCCUACUGGUUUCGGCCCAGUAUAUGAAGACUAGCACCUCUUCUCCUUUU